AGCUUUGCACAGUGGCAGUAUUAUAGCCAAUAAUGUUUAUCUGAGGCAUGAUUAUUGCUAAUUGAAAACUUUUCCCAAUAUCCUGCCGUGCUGACUUACAAUAUAGUUGGCAUUGGCAAUUUCUGACAGUCUCUACAGAGA
ensembl:snRNA U4 U4 spliceosomal RNA